GACGAACCGUCCAAACGUUAUUCGGAAUUACUGGGCUUAAAGGGUGCGUAGGCGGCGCGGAAAGUUGGGUGUGAAAUCCCUCGGCUCAACCGAGGAACUGCGCCCAAUACUACCGUGCUUGAGGGAGAUAGAGGUGAGCGGAACUUAGGGUGGAGCGGUGAAAUGCGUUGAUAUCCUAAGGAACACCGGUGGCGAAAGCGGCUCACUGGAUCUCUUCUGACGCUGAGGCACGAAAGCUAGGGUAGCGAACAGG
rnacentral:rRNA from 1 species